rnacentral:rRNA from 1 species
GAUAAACGCUGGCGGCGCACAUAAGACAUGCAAGUUGAACGGACUUAAUCGAAAUAUUUAUAUUUUGAAGCGGUUAGUGGCGGGCUGGUGAGUAACGCGUAAGGAACCUGCCUAUUAGAGGGGAAUAACAGUGAGAAAUCAUUGCUAAUACCGCAUAUGCCAUAGAUAUCACAUGAUAACAGUGGGAAAGGAGCAAUCCGCUAAUAGAUGGCCUUGCGUCUGAUUAGCUAGUUGGUGGGGUAACGGCCUACCAAGGCGACGAUCAGUAGCCGGACUGAGAGGUUGAGCGGCAAAAUUGGGACUGAGAUACGGCCCAGAAUCCUUCGGGAAGGAGCAGUAGGGAAUAUUGCGCAAUGGAGGUAACUCUGACGCAGUGACGCCGCGUAUAGGAAGAAGGUUUUCGGAUUGUAAACUAUUGUCGUUAGGGAAGAGAAAGGACAGUACCUAAGGAGGAAGCUCCGGCUAACUACGUG